AUUGAACGCUGGCGGAAUGCUUUACACAUGCAAGUCGUAGCGGCAGCGCGGGGGCAACCUGGCGGCGAGCGGCGAACGGGUGAGUAAUGCAUCGGAACAUGUCCAUGUCGUGGGGGAUAGCCCGGCGAAAGCCGGAUUAAUACCGCAUACGCCCGAGAGGGGAAAGUGGGGACCGCAAGGCCUCACGCGAUUGGGUUGGCCGAUGUCCGAUUAGCUAGUUGGCGGGGUAAGAGCCCACCAAGGCGAUGAUCGGUAGCUGGUCUGAGAGGAUGAUCAGCCACACUGGGACUGAGACACGGCCCAGACUCCUACGGGAGGCAGCAGUGGGGAAUUUUGGACAAUGGGGGCAACCCUGAUCCAGCCAUUCCGCGUGAGUGAAG
rnacentral:rRNA from 1 species